rnacentral:rRNA from 1 species
GAUGAACGCUGGCGGCGUGCCUAAUACAUGCCAGUCGAGCGAACGGACGAGAAGCUUGCUUCUCUGAUGUUAGCGGCGGACGGGUGAGUAACACGUGGAUAACCUACCUAUAAGACUGGGAUAACUUCGGAAAACCGGAGCUAAUACCGGAUAAUAUUUUGAACCGCAUGGUUCAAAAGUGAAAGACGGUCUUGCUGUCACUUAUAGAUGGAUCCGCGCUGCAUUAGCUAGUUGGUAAGGUAACGGCUUACCAAGGCAACGAUGCAUAGCCGACCUGAGAGGGUGAUCGGCCGCACUGGAACUGAGACACGGUCCAGACUCCUACGGGAGGCAGCAGUAGGGAAUCUUCCGCAAUGGGCGAAAGCCUGACGGAGCAACGCCGCGUGAGUGAUGAAGGUCUUCGGAUCGUAAAACUCUGUUAUUAGGGAAGAACAUAUGUGUAAGUAACUGUGCACAUCUUGACGGUACCUAAUCAGAAAGCCACGGCUAACUACGUG